UUCACUUUGAAUCAAAGCUAAGAGUUUGCUAAAGCUCUUUGUUUCAAGUGGGAGCUUAAAAAUGUCUUUCUACAGUCUGGUGGUUAUUUCAAAAUUUUGGAAAUAUAAUAUUUAAUUCACUAGAGAGAAACAGCA
ensembl:snoRNA